rnacentral:rRNA from 1 species
UUUAAAUGUAAAUUAAAAUACUAAAUUAGUAAUAGUUAAGUUCUUUAAAUUUAAAGAUUUUGGCGGUAUUUUAGUCUAUUCAGAGGAACCUGUUCUGUAAUUGAUAAUCCACGAUUAACAUUACUUAAUUUAAUAAUUUGUAUAUCGUCGUUUAUAAAUAAUUUUAAAAGAAUUUAAAUUUUUAAGAUUUUUUAUUAAAAAAUAUAUCAGAUCAAGGUGCAGUUAAUAAUUAAGAAGUAAUGGGUUACAAUAAAUUUAUUUAUAUGGAUUAAUAUAUAAAAUUGUAUUAUGAAGGAGGAUUUGAUAGUAAUAAAAUUUAAUUAAAUUUUAUGAUUUUAGCUCUAAAAUAUGU